GAUGAACGCUGGCGGCGUGCUUAACACAUGCAAGUCGAACGAUGAAGCCCAGCUUGCUGGGUGGAUUAGUGGCGAACGGGUGAGUAACACGUGAGUAACCUGCCCUUAACUCUGGGAUAAGCCUGGGAAACUGGGUCUAAUACCGGAUAGGAGCGUCCACCGCAUGGUGGGUGUUGGAAAGAUUUAUCGGUUUUGGAUGGACUCGCGGCCUAUCAGCUUGUUGGUGAGGUAAUGGCUCACCAAGGCGACGACGGGUAGCCGGCCUGAGAGGGUGACCGGCCACACUGGGACUGAGACACGGCACAGACUCCUACGGGAGGCAGCAGUGGGGAAUAUUGCACAAUGGGCGCAAGCCUGAUGCAGCGACGCCGCGUGAGGGAUGACGGCCUUCGGGUUGUAAACCUCCUUCAGUAGGGAAGAAGCGAAAGUGACGGUACCUGCAGAAGAAGCACCGGCUAACUACGUG
rnacentral:rRNA from 1 species